rnacentral:snRNA from 1 species
GAACGGAUCAGGAAAGAUCUCU